UUUCUUUUUUUUUACCACGCUGAAAACGACUAUUCGCGCGUACCGCUCUUUUGUGUUAAAAACGAAAAUUCAAAAGCAAUUUCGUACAGUUGCUUACAUAAUAUAUAAAUAUUAAAUAUACGAGUAUAUGAGGAAGCAUAGAAAUUUAAAAUUUGAAUGAAUUAACGGUGUUUGAACCCUCUUGCCGAAACGGACCAACUCUCGGUAUAAUUGGCUUCCCGCCGAGUUAUUCGCGUAGGGUUUACUCCCC